AUCCUCUUUUGUAGAGACUGACAAAAGUAAUUCUUUUGGUCUCUGCUUGUUCAUCAUGUGCUCCAAUUCGCUAUGCUUUUACAGAUACGAUGCAACUUCAGGCAAAAGCAGCACACUAAACUGGACCAAGAGUUCACUGUCCUGUCUCUGAUCAAUAAACAAGACAGGUGUGAAACCCCAUAAGAGAAAACAAUGCAGUAACAUUCAAGGUCUCCAUGAAGGAGAACUGUAAAUCUGGAAAGUUAGAAGAUCUUUCCCCGUCAAGGUCAAGCCAUAAGUCACCAGGUCUCUUGCUUGCAUGUUGUUCAACUCCUUUCUUGUCAACUGGAAGCCAUCAACGAGCUAAACAGGCCCCAGGCCUGUGAGAGAGAGAGAGAGAUGUGCUUUCAGCGCUUUGACUGGACAGAACUUCAAAUUUCUGCACACUUCUGCAGCCUCACCAUUGCCCCAGAGCAGGUUUAGUUGGUUUUGCAGAACCUGGGAGUCAAUGUCAUUUAGGCUUCCAUUCGGUGCAAACCUUAAAUCAUCGGAUGUAUCUUGACAAGAGCUAAGAAACCAGCUUAUCAAUUUAGAAGAACCUGAGGCAAGUGACUGAAAAAGUUGUGCUGAAUCUCUAAAGCAGUACUUAGAUGAGAAUUUGGGCAGUGUGUGUCUGUCACUGUUCUGUUUUACUUCCAGUA
rnacentral:lncRNA from 1 species